rnacentral:rRNA from 1 species
CACGUAGGGCGCAAGCGUUGUCCGGAAUUAUUGGGCGUAAAGAGCUCGUAGGCGGUCUGUUGCGUCCGCUGUGAAAACCCGGGGCUUAACCCUGGGCUGGCAGUGGAUACGGACAGACUAGAGGUAGGUAGGGGAGAAUGGAAUUCCCGGUGUAGUGGUGGAAUGCGUAGAUAUCGGGAGGAACACCAGUGGCGAAGGCGGUUACCUGGAGCUUUGCGUGACGCUGAUGCGCGAAAGCGUGGGGAGCGAUCGG